rnacentral:rRNA from 1 species
CCUACGGGGGGCAGCAGUGAGGAAUAUUGGUCAAUGGACGGAAGGCUGAACCAGCCAAGCCGCGUGAAGGACGAAGGUGCCAAGCAUUGUAAACUGCUUUUGUAAAGGGACAAAAACAGGUACGAGAGCCUGACUGAAGGUACUGGAAGAAAAAGCAUCGGCUAACUCCGUGCCAGCAGCCGCGGUAAUACGGAGGAUGCGAGCGUUAUCCGGAUUUAUUGGGUUUAAAGGGUGCGUAGGCGGCCUUGUAAGUCAGAGGUGAAAGUCCGUGGCUCAACCGUGGAAUUGCCGUUGAAACUGGCAGGCUUGAGUGUGUUUGCGGCAGGCGGAAUGUGUGGUGUAGCGGUGAAAUGCUUAGAUAUCACGCAGAACCCCGAUUGCGAAGGCAGCCUGCCAAGCCAUUACUGACGCUGAUGCACGAAAGCGUGGGGAUCAAACAGGAUUAGAUACCCCUGUAGUC